AAAAUAAUCUAGGUGUCAGUUCUUAAUUGAAUAGUUUAGUCUUAAAAGACCUUGUAACAAGAGAUUGUUACCCAUUUUUUGCCUUGCUGCCAAACUCAUGGUUGUGAGACUUUUUUACUGAUAAGAAAUAACAAACACCUGAGUCCGAACAUGAAACUACUGUCUCAAGUGCCUUCAAUCCAGACCCAGAGAAACCGAUAGCUAUCUGUAAGAUUGCAAUACAACAGCUACCUACCUGGGGAAGGGUACACCCUUUACAGUGGCUGUACAUAAACCCCAGUGACAAGACCUGAUGAUCAAACUAACUCGAGGAUUAUAGCCAUUUGUGCAAAUAAAUUCCACCCUUUUUACAGGGCUUAUUCCAAGAUCUUUGUUUUCCAUGUAUGGUACUUUUCUAUAUAUCCAUGAUUAUCCACUGACCCCUCUAUAAAAUAUACUAUGUGGGUAGAUCAUCUUCCUUCUGUUUUAAGAAACAUAUGCUUAGAACAUUUAAUUUUUUACUGCAGCAUAAAUAUGGUAAAGCAUCUGUAAACCUCUACAUGUACUCUGAAGCUAACAAAAAUACUAGAUGGCAUGACAGAGGUAUACAACUUGAAUGGAUAUAUUAUUUUACACAACCUCCAUCUUCACCUAUUCAAGUGAAGAAAAAAAGUGAAAAUAUAUAUCAGCAUGAUAUUAAUGCUGAAAUUUUGCACGCAUCAAGUCAGGAAGCUGCAUGUUACAGUUUCCAUAGCAACCAUAAUUCAAUCUCCUUUUGAAUUUGUGGUAAUUUUUAGCAAUGUAUUUGAUAUAAUUGUCAUAUGGGUAACACUUCUCUUGAAAAAAUGGUGUAAUUUCACAUUGGAUUAUCUUUACACGUAGGCAUAGCUCUGCAGUCCCUGCUAGCACAAAACUCACAGAGGUGUUCUUUAUGCUUGUAUCAGUUCACCUUGUGUGUGUUGGUAAAAGGUGAAAUGUCAGGUGGGUCUCAUAUGGGAUAUAGGAAUGUUGGUGAUGUGCACAAGAUAUAAAAUAUUUCAAAAUUCUGAUCUCCUGAAGAUCUCACCCUGGACAACAAUUCUACUGAUUUUUGUGACAACACCUACUAAUCUGAAUGCAUACUCACAUCACUCUGGCUUGCAUAUUUAAUCUUUUGUAAUUUCAUGAAAAUAUAGCUUAGCACACAAUUAUUUUGAAAUGAAUUCUAAAGGAAUUUUUGUACCUUUAAAUUAUUACCUAAAUGAUGUAGCAUGUGAACAAUUCUCCUAAAUAAAGCCAAUGUUCACCAAAAUGAUAAUUCAAUAAAAGCUUUUCAUUGCAAGAAAGGGAGCAGAAGAUUCAGUAGCACAUGAGACACUGUCUUCCCUCAGCAGCUAUUAGUGCUGCUUUUUAAAACUCAGUAAAUUUACUGGUUUAUCACAUGCUAAAUAUAUAUAUGGAUAUAUAAAAAUAGCCCAAAGCACAAGUUCCAUUCCAUGCUAAAAUAAUAUUUUUACAGAUACAUUUUUAUAGGAAUAUUCCUAUUGCUUCUGAAUCCAAAAUGGAUGGCCUGAAGUUGCGUCAGGGGAGGUUUAGUUUGGAUAUCAGAAAAAGGUUCUUAACCCAGAGGGUGGUCGUGCACUGGAACAGCUCCCCAGGGCAGUGGUCACAGCACAGCCUGACAGAGUUUAAGAAGUGUUUUGACAAUGCUCUUGAGAACCUGGUGUGACUCUUGGGGCUCUCUCUGCAGGGCUAACGAAGAUUCAAUGAUCCUUGUGAGUACCCUCCAACUUGGCAUGUUCUGUGAUUCUGUGAUACUGCAGCCCAAAAAAUAUGGUAUUGCCAUUACUUGUAACAGGCAAAAAGAUUUGCAUUAAUAAUUUGCAAAACAGAGUUCUCAGGACACUUCAUAUUAUCUCAAUUUCUCUUGUUUUAGCUUGCUUUAGCUUUAACACAUAUAUGUGUAAAAGAAUUAUCUGUUACUACUGCCUAAUUUGGUUUUAGCUUUAGUGUAAUCAGAAGUGGCCUUGGAAUGAUAAAGUUGUGCACUGACCCAUAAGCACAGGCUGACAGCAGAGACCUUGAGGGUAGAGGAACAGAUUUAUUCUAGAGAUCAAGAGGGUUGAAAGACAUAAUUAGUUACUUAUCACUAAUCAGUUACUGAUUACUAUAAAUGCACCUUGAGAGAUAAUAAAAUAAAAAUUCUGGGGAUAAACCCCAAAAAUUUUAGGCCAAUAAGACCAUAAAAAACCCCACAAAAACCCCCAUGGACAAAAAAAUCCCCAAGAACAGAAGAAGUGUCUGUUAUCAAUACCAUAAACCUCCUGGUGAAGAAUUGUGGAUUUAAAACACUACUAAAUAAUAGGAUGUACUUUGGGCUACUUUUACAUACUUUAAUAUAUAGUGAGUGAGAAAACAGUAAAGUUACUGAGUUUUGAAAAGCACUUAGUUUAUAAUAGCCAGUGAGACAAGACAGCAUCUCAUGAAUAGCUGAACCUUUUGCUUUUCUUGGAAAGAAAAAACUUUCUAUUAUUAAUCAGGCUCUUUUGGUAAUAAAUAGAUAAUGUUGACUAUGACUCUUAGCUUGAUUGUAACUGGUAUAUCAGUAUCAACAAGACUAGUAAUCCCAGGUUACAAAUAAGAGUAACUUACAGUAAUAACUGUGCAGAGUAGCAAAACACUAUUGGACCAGUAUUUUUUCCCAUUAUUUAUAUGUCUGGAUUAGAUCAUAAGUCUGAGGCAGAGAGUCCAGCCUUUCCAGAGAAAUUUAAAUGUCUUUUCUGACACCAUGAAAAUCUCAGGUUCAGCCACCAUAUGUGUUAAAGGCAGAAGUGUAGUUUUUCCUUUAUUCCUUUUGCAAGUGUUUGGUUUAAAACAAAAAAGGGGAAAUAAAAAUCCAUUAAAACAGUUUUCUGUGAUUAAAUAUUAUUUUUCAUAUAUCCCAGAAACUGGACUACCAACUGGAUAUCCCAUAACCGGCGUGGAAUUGCACUAAGGUUGCUCAAAUAUAGAAUAUACUUCAGAUUUUUUUGUUUUGAAUUAGAUUUUCAUUUACAGAUUUUCUGGAUCUGAGGUCUCAGUUAGAAAAAUUAUUAAUAAAAGAAUCCAAAUUCUUUUCUAUAUAUGUUUAUAAGAAGGAAUCCUGAGAGGCUCACAUGGUGUUAAACCUAAGCCAUAUUUAUUCUGUUAACACCUUGGACUGAAGCAGUUUGAUUUUCUGAUCUCUGAAUCUUUCAAAUCUAUAACCAUCUGAAAGAUCAACAUGCAAAAGUUUUAUGCUUAAAAGGGAACAAAUAUAUGCACGACUGAGAAAAGUAAAAGGACAGUUUGAGUCAUUUCAUGAUGUGUUAAGCAUUUUUCUUUUUGAGUUUUAUUGGUUUAUAAAUAGGUCAACAUGUUCUAGAAGCAGCUGAAGAAUUCUGGAAGAAUGUAGGCAGAAUUUACACAGAGUCAACUUUUAAGAGGAGGAUAAAAAUAAUAUUGCACCUGAUUAAAAGCACAUUCAGAUUUGCAGGGCAAUCUCAUUAUCAAAAAUGUUGCAGAAAGGGGAAAAUAUAUACUUCCACAUUGAAAAGAUGUGAUAAAGAAGACAAGGAAGACAAAUUCUAGAACUAGAUAUGGGAACAGAAUUCAGAGGACCUUGGAUCUUUUCGGCCUCCUACUGGAGACUCAUGGCAAAAGUCAAUCCUAAGAGUACAUCCACAGACUCCUAAUUUGUUCCUAUUUUAUCUUCAGCAUUAGCAGGAGAAAUAUUUGUGUGGCAGAUGGAAUAGAGAAUGUACUUGGGAUGUGGAACACCCUUCAGAUAUUUCGGUAUGCCUCUCUAGCAAAAGGCAUCAUUCCUCUAGCUCAGAGGAAUGCUGUGGAGAAUUCUUCAGUGCUUCAGAGGUACAACACCAUCUCUCACCAGGGUACUUCAUGUAGAUUACUUCUACAGGUGUUACUUCAUGUAACGCCUGCUAGCGUUUGCUUGCUCUGAAAUAUAAAUCACCUUAGGUUACACCAAAAUAAUUAAAUGUGAGUGCUGUGUGUACAGCCCUAGCUCUGGUUUCAGAGUUGUUUAGAGGAAGGAUUUGGUCCAAAUAUACAGUUCCAAGGUGAAUGUAUAAGAUGAUUCUGCCAUAUAUUUCAACACUAAAUUGCAAAGCCUUUGGUUUCAAGCCCAGAAAGUAUUUCUGAAUUCUGCAACUUAACAGAUAUCCUUACUACAGCAGAUUUUUUUGUCUGAAACAAUGCAGAAAAACUUUUCUCUGCAGAAAAUUUCACAAGAUUUCCAAAUUAUUUUGGCAGGCAUUCUUUUAGUAACUUGCAGUAAGAAGAAGAAAAUCCAAGUUUUUACUUCAUAAAGUUUGCCUGGGGUUUCUUCCUUGUGCCUAUCAAGUCUAAGAACAUGAAACUGUAGACUGGUGCAAGAAAACAUGGUGACAGCAUUGCUGUUUUGCAUUUAUUUGAAAAUGUUCAGGGCAGCAUAACAGACACUUUCUCAAUAUAAGCAGAUCUUUAUUUUUCAUGUAACACCAACUCUUGAAGAAAUGAGAAAGUGGUUGGUCCUUUAGGGCAAGUCUACUGAGUCAAUAUUGUAAAUUUUGCAAGGGUCCUUUUUAAAGAUAUUCAGAAGUUGGAAUACUGAUAAGGAAUAAAAGCUUACUCAAUGUGAUCAGUAAACUCAAAAGAAACACUGAACAGGGACAGCUCUACAGUCUGUGAAGUAUUAAAGUAACAAACUAGAGUUUUUCCUAGCUAAAAAUCAUCAAAAUUACAAUUGCUGUUUCACCCAGAACUGCCAAUGGGUAAGGCACUUCUUAGCUUCAGCUUUUACUUCCUACUGUAUUAUUUAACAGGGUAUUUGAUCUUCACUUUUCUCAAGCAUUCCCCACUGAAUUUGUCACAUCCAGUUCAGACAUUAAAGAUGAACCAUACGGCCUCUAUUAAAAUUAAAGUACAGCAACCAGCUAAAUCCUCUAACACUGAAAAUUAUACCUGGCAUAAACCUUCAAUCUACUCAAAAAGAAUUCAGUCAAACAACUUAUCUUUACAGCAGACCCGAGAAAUGACAUGACUGCUAUUACAUCAUUUUUCCAAGGAGUUAUAAAGACAUUGCAUAAGACCAUAUGCAUAUUUGCCUUAAAGUCUAUAACAUAAUCUAGUUAUAAAUCUUCAAGGCAACAGUCAUGUCUACAGCUAUUGAAUGUAAGGCAAAAUUUGGGGAAGACUUAUUUUAAUUUUUUUUCCAUACAUAAAACCCACGGCCUCUGGGAUGUGAAAUUAUUUCUAUUUACCUGUACUGUAGCCAAGCUUACACUUUUUGUUAUUCAGACAACAUAUUAGGAAUCAACUAAUCUGUUUAUCUUGGAAGGUAAAAGCAAAAUGUCACAUUCCCUCUUUCUCAUCUAUCUCUCUCCUCUACAAUUCUUUACAUGUAAUGCAACCAUUUUUAAAGCACAGUUCAAUAAGGAACCUUUCCAUUAGGUAAUUCUGAGUGUUAUUACAUUUGGCAUUAUGCAGGACUAAUAGAGUAGUAUCUUGCCCACAAAAAUAUCAUCUAAUGCAGACUGCAGUCAUAAUAAGUCAGCAUGUAAAGAAUAUCCAUUUUAUAGCUAUGACUUGCAUUCCCUCCUCCCUCUCCCCCUUAUGAGUGUAGCUUCCUUUUCUGAGGAAUGAUUGCUGAAAUGAUUUUGAGAAGGGCUGUGCAAAUGUACUUGUCAUUUUAAUGUUUUAUCAGAGAAAAAAAAUUAAGGGAAAUGUUUGGGAAAAAAAUUUUCACUGAUGUGUUUACAUUUUCCCCCACAAAUUCUGAUACAUUUAAAAAGUAUUUAAGCAGAAAUAUCUUCCCAUCAUCUCUCCCAAGUAAACAAGUAGGAUGCUGUGAGACACUGCUGAAGAAGCAAGUAGAAAGCUGAAAUAAAUCUACCCCAAGAGCAGGGCAGACUAUAAAACCUCUUAGGCUCUUCUAAAAAAGGUCAAGAAUCCUUUCAAAAGACCAUAAGUCACAGACUGAAGAUUUGUUCUGCCCAUUAUUAUAAUUUUUAUAUUAACAAAGUGGACUCUCAGCUCAGUGCUAUUUCUUGCACAUCCUACUUUAAGGUUACCUCACCAAAUUUUAGAAACACACCUUUUCCACUGAGAAGAAUAUUAUAAAACCUUUUUCAGAUGUGGCCCCGAAAUGUAGAUUGCACAGAACUGUGCAUUUAGACAGUGUAUAUAACCAUUAGGCAUUAUAGAACUGGUGUCUAUGUAGAACUGCAUCCAGUCAUGACCUUAUUAGAGUCUGAGAGCAUCUUGUUCUGCCAAUGUCAAGUCAAAUUUUAGUUCAGGAUAACAGCUACGGUAUUACUGGUGAUGCAGAAAGUACUGCAUUCUAGAAUCCUAAUGUUUCAUGCAUUAUGGUUCUAAAACAUGUUAUACUCAUGUUCAGUAUUAUCUGUUUGCUUCCGCAAGUACUGACACACCCAACUUCAAGGAAAGCACACACAAAAUUUAUCUUAUUUCAAUGUUUCCUAUAUUUUCUAAAGCAGCUGCUGCUGUAGAGUAUCAGUACUCCUGUUUUGACUAAACACUGUCAAUUCUGAAUAAUUUAAUUGUGUAUUGUACCAUCAGAAAGCUACAAAGCUUCAGGAGAUAAUUAACUUCAUGAAGAAGUUUCUUUUCAUUUUAUCCUUCAGUGCCCAUAUAAAAAUUGAUUUUUACAGGUGAUAAAUGUUUUUAUAGGUAAAAUAAUAUAAAGACAUCUCUUACCAAGCUAGUUUUUUCUGCAUUUCAUCCAAAAUUUUAUUGCCGGGGAUGAUUAAAUGCUCCAGACAUGGUAUCAAGUUUGGAGAUGAUGAAAAGAGAAACAAUACCAAAAGGCAAGCCAAUAAUAAAACUCAUACAGACUUUUUUCUUUCCUGAAGUUGUGCCACUGUACAGCAAUUGGGAUCACUGGUUUUAAAGGAAUUCUUGCAAUUUUACUUCUAACCCAUAAAGAAAGCGAAUACUAUUAAUGUACAUUGUUUCAUACACAUGUGCCAUAUAAUUUAAUCAGCAAGAUUUUAGGCAGAAAGAUAUUUUGUUUGUUAUUUUCCUACAGCUGGCUAAUUAGAAUACAAACUACUCCUCACUCAGCCGGGAGGUUUACCUUUUUGUAUUGUUAAAUUAAUCUGAAGACAUAAGGCUUUCAGUCAUGCCCAGACACACAAUCAGCGACAUACAAGCUGACAGUGCUGUUUCACACAAAUCUGCUCUGAAGCAGUACCGUUUUGCGCUAUGCCUGCAUCUUCUGUUCUCUCUCACUGAGAAAGACAGCCUUGCCUUGUUGAUUCCUGCAACCUUCCAUCGCUACAGAAACAGUAUUUGGGAAACCACUGACGUUUUAUCUCUCACCCGUUAACCACCCUCAAGUUCAGCCAUCUCAACUUUCAGCGCUCCUAUCCUAAAGGUCCUAACACACACGGAAACCUCCGAGUGUUUAAUCCUGAUUUUGAGCGGCAGCUUCUGACGGGAGGCUUCCUGAGCGGCACCUUCACUUCUCAUCUAGCACCAUCUACUGCCCACGGCGGGCAGGAGCCGCAGCCGCUGCCCAGCCCCGGCCCCGCUGGAGGAGCGCGGAGAGCCGCGGAACUGGCCACGGGCCCUUCCCGCACCGAGCUGGGCACGGGCCCGAAUCCUGACUGAGUUGGGCACGGGCCCUUCCCGCACCGAGCUGGGCACGGCCCUGAAACCUCACCGAGAGGGGCACGGGCCUGAACCUUCACCGAGCUGGGCACGGGCCCGAACCCGCACCAAGCUGGGCACGUCCCCGAACCCUGACUGAGCGGGGCACGGGCACUGCUCCGCACGGAGUCCGCCGGCGCUGCAACACCAGCUCGAACUUUGUGUGGUGAUCCAGAUGCAUACAGAUUCCAAAGACUCUGCUCCGGCAGAGUUAGAAGGACAAAGCACCUGUUCCCCUAGCAGAUUUCUCUGUUCGUACUUGAAGUUGCUGUCAGCUUUGGCCCUGCCUCCCUGGUGCCACAAAGGUGAUUACAACUAUUGAUAUGCAUCCUCCACUCUUUCAAAUGAAGACUAAUGGCUUGAAGCAAUGACUGAUGCCACUUCUUCCAGCAGAAUUAGAGCAGAACAUCACAGGCAGGUCAGUAUGUUUUCUAAAAGGAAGCUUUGAGAGUAUACAUCACAGAAGCUCAGGAUAUAUUGAUUCUGCCUGAAUCAUGUUAACACUCAGCUCUCCUCUAUCCAAAAUCUCUGUUCAAGCACAGUUAAACUCUAAAUUAGGCAACUAAUGACAAACAAAUGAUGAUGGACACUGUGGAAAAGGAAAUAAUAAGUGAAAAACUACACUUGUUCCAACACUGCCAUAUCAGAUGCUUCCUUUCGGUAACUUACAUGAAUAUUUGUUUUUUUCUCCCACAAUAUUGUCACCAUUGACAUAGGCAGUGGUUGCCAAAGGACAAAAAUAGCAACAUAAAGCAAUCUAGAAGAAGUGAUUUCUAGGAAAAGCUUCUAAGAAAGAUAAGCUACCUUAGCAAACUAAAGGAAGAGGAGAUUUCAAACCCAGCACAUUAGGAGAAAGCUGUAAGUUUACUAACUCCUUGUCAAGCAAAAGGGUUGUUUGAGCUGUUACAGAGACCUAACAUGAAAAGAAGAAAAAGGUGAAAACUGAAAUGAAAGCUGUAGCAUAACUCUUUAGAAACCUUUAGAUAGACUUAACUGAAAGGGGUAGAUCUAUAUGGCUGGAUACUCAAGUCUCCUAAGGAAGGAAAUGAAACUGAUGGAAUAGCAGUAGGUUGUAAUUCUUCUUUUCUGCUGGCUUGUAUCUAUUGACUAAAGUAGAUUUGUCCUUCCUAUGGGAAUCUAAAAAGCCUGAACAGCACAAGGAGAAAUUAAGAAGUAGUUGUACUUACAAGCAUUAUAUCUAAUUGCCUGCAAACCUGUCAUUUUUCAUCCACAGUACCUGUAUGGUUUAAGCACACUUAGAACCUCUGGAAAAAAAAAAAAAUGAAGACACUUUAUUUGGUAAAAUGUAAAUUUUCCAAGAGGUGUUUUAGGCAACAGAAAUGGAAAGAAGAAAAGUCAGAUUUACAGCAUCUACAAACCCCUCUUAUCAAUCAUAUUCUUCCUAAUCAUCUGGUGCACUUUCUCAAUAGAAGAAGCUAGACCUCCAAGUUAUGCUAAAUCUAUGUUGAAAAUAUUAGAAGUCUUACCUGAAAAAAAUCCCGAGGAGGUAUUUGGACGUGAAAUGCAUAAAUAUGGUUGCAAAGUCUGUGAGCAGUUACAGAGCUGUUACAGAUGGGUAUUUGAGGAAAGCCAAACACAAUAAAAGCACAUUUAGUGCUCCAAUAGGGAACCUGUUACUUAUAAAGACUAUUAAAAAUUCUUUUCACUGGAAGAGAAUUCAAUGACAAAAAAACAUUUUUUUUACCUUUUCAAGGACCUAGGGACUAAGAGAUAACAGAUUCUUAUAGAAAAACUAUUACAAAGUGCACUAUUUGUUUAACAAAUACCCAUCCUGUAUGACCGCGGUGGCUGGUACAGGAUUUACCAACCCUAGAUUUGCUAUGGCUAAAUCACGUUUACACUCAUUGCUUAAUAUUAACUACUGCUGAGUACCCGUGGGGGUGUGGCAAUUGCAA